rnacentral:rRNA from 1 species
GCUACGGGUGGCAGCAGUGAGGAAUAUUGGUCAAUGGUCGGGAGACUGAACCAGCCAAGCCGCGUGAGGGAGGCAGGUACAGAGUAUCGUAAACCUCUUUUGUCAGGGAACAAAGACUGGGACGCGUCCCCGGAUGAGUGUACCUGAAGAAAAAGCAUCGGCUAACUCCGUGCCAGCAGCCGCGGUAAUACGGAGGAUGCGAGCGUUAUCCGGAUUUAUUGGGUUUAAGGGGUGCGCAGGCGGUCUGUUAAGUCAGCGGUCAAAGCCCGGGCCUCAACCCCGGCCCGCCGUUGAAACUGGCAGGCUCGAGUUGGAGAGAAGUAUGCUGAAUGCGCGGUGUAGCGGUGAAAUGCAUAGAGAUCGCGCAGAACUCCGAUUGCGAAGGCAGCAGGCCGGCUCCACACUGACGCUGAGGCACGAAAGCGUGGGUAUCGAACAGGAUUAGAUACCCCUGUAGUC